rfam:Chloroflexi bacterium GWB2_49_20 gwb2_scaffold_90, whole genome shotgun sequence.
UAGCCGAUUCACAAAUACCUGAUGUUCGGGCGGGUUUGGAGAAGACGCUUACAACACUUUUUGCAGCGAUGUGCGGUGUAGAGAUGAUCCAUGAUGGCG